GACGAACGCUGGCGGCGUGCUUAACACAUGCAAGUCGAACGGAAAGGCCCUGCUUUUGUGGGGUGCUCGAGUGGCGAACGGGUGAGUAACACGUGAGUAACCUGCCCUUGACUUUGGGAUAACUUCAGGAAACUGGGGCUAAUACCGGAUAGGAGCUCCUGCUGCAUGGUGGGGGUUGGAAAGUUUCGGCGGUUGGGGAUGGACUCGCGGCUUAUCAGCUUGUUGGUGGGGUAGUGGCUUACCAAGGCUUUGACGGGUAGCCGGCCUGAGAGGGUGACCGGCACAAUGGGACCUGGGUUCCGCCCCAGACCCUACCGGGAGCAAGAAGUGGGAAAUAUGCCACAAGGGGCGAAGGCCGAAGGCAGAACCCCGGGGUGGGGGAUGACGGCCUUCGGGUUGUAACCGGCUUUCGCCUGUGACGAGGCGUGGGUGCCGGUAAUGGGAAAAGAAGCACCGGCUACUUACGU
rnacentral:rRNA from 1 species